UAAUACGUAGGGCGCGAGCGUUGUCCGGAUUUAUUGGGCGUAAAGAGCUCGUAGGCGGCUCAUUGCGUCAACCGUGAAAACCAGCAGCUCAACUGUUGGCUUGCGGUUGAUACGGGUGGGCUGGAGUUCGGUAGGGGAGACUGGAAUUCCUGGUGUAGCGGUGAAAUGCGCAGAUAUCAGGAGGAACACCGGUGGCGAAGGCGGGUCUCUGGGCCGAUACUGACGCUGAGGAGCGAAAGCGUGGGGAGCGAACAGGAUUAGAUACCCUGGUAGUCCACGCUGUAAACGUUGGGCGCUAGGUGUGGGGGGCCUCUCCGGUUUCCUGCGCCGUAGCUAACGCAUUAAGCGCCCCGCCUGGGGAGUACGGCCGCAAGGCUA
rnacentral:rRNA from 1 species